AGUGAACGCUGGCGGUAGGCCUAACACAUGCCAGUCGAACGGCAGCACAGUAAGAGCUUGCUCUUACGGGUGGCGAGUGGCGGACGGGUGAGGAAUACAUCGGAAUCUACUUUUUCGUGGGGGAUAACGUAGGGAAACUUACGCUAAUACCGCAUACGACCUACGGGUGAAAGCAGGGGAUCUUCGGACCUUGCGCGAUUGAAUGCGCCGAUGUCGGAUUAGCUAGUUGGCGGGGUAAAGGCCCACCAAGGCGACGAUCCGUAGCUGGUCUGAGAGGAUGAUCAGCCACACGGGAACUGAGACACGGUCCAGACUCCUACGGGAGGCAGCAGUGGGGAAUAUUAGACAAUGGGCGCAAGCCUGAUCCAGCCAUACCGCGUGGGUGAAGAAGGCCUUCGGGUUGUAAAGCCCUUUUGUUGGGAAAGAAAAGCAGCAGGUUAAUACCCCGCUGUUCUGACGGUACCCAAAGAAUAAGCACCGGCUAACUUCGUG
rnacentral:rRNA from 1 species